rnacentral:rRNA from 1 species
UACAGAGGUGGCAAGCGUUGUUCGGAAUUACUGGGCGUAAAGCGUGCGCAGGCGGUUGUGCAAGACCGAUGUGAAAUCCCCGGGCUUAACCUGGGAAUGGCAUUGGUGACUGCACGGCUAGAGUGUGUCAGAGGGGGGUAGAAUUCCACGUGUAGCAGUGAAAUGCGUAGAUAUGUGGAGGAAUACCGAUGGCGAAGGCAGCCCCCUGGGAUAACACUGACGCUCAUGCACGAAAGCGUGGGGAGCAAACAGG